rnacentral:rRNA from 1 species
UGGGGAAUUGUUCGCAAUGGGCGCAAGCCUGACGACGCAACGCCGCGUGGAGGACGAAGAUCUUCGGGUCGUAAACUCCUGUCGAGCGGGAAGAACGGCCCGCGGGUGAAUAGCCUGCGGGAGUGACGGUACCGCUAAAGGAAGCCCCGGCUAACUCCGUGCCAGCAGCCGCGGUAAUACGGGGGGGGCAAGCGUUGUUCGGAAUUACUGGGCGUAAAGGGCUCGUAGGCGGCCAACUAAGUCGGAUGUGAAAUCCCCAGGCUCAACCUGGGAACUGCAUCCGAUACUGGAUGGCUUGAAUCCGGGAGAGGGAUGCAGAAUUCCAGGUGUAGCGGUGAAAUGCGUAGAUAUCUGGAGGAAUACCGGUGGCGAAGGCGGCAUCCUGGACCGACAUUGACGCUGAGGAGCGAAAGCUAGGGGAGCAAA